rfam:Oryzias latipes DNA, chromosome3, strain: Hd-rR.
GGUUCUAUGGUGUAAUGGUUAGCACUCUGGACAUUUUGUAUCCAGUAGUCUGAGUUCGAAUCUCAGUAGAACCU